rnacentral:lncRNA from 1 species
AAAAGGCCCAGUGCACCCAGACCCCUGCCACAGGUGGCAGCUUUGAACUUGAGCUCAGGCACAAGACAGCCUCCAGGAGCUGGGCUGAGAGCAGGCUGAGCUGUUGUUGAGGACCAGCCAGCAGGGAGCUGGCAGGAGCAGAUCUCAGGAGCACAAGGGUGGCCUCUGGGUCUCUGUUGUCAAAUGUGGACACGUCAGGGGCAGGAGCAGCCUGGAC